UAUCUCCGUGACGGUGAGAUAUCGUGAUGUUCUUACUGGACUAGUGUAGCUCACUCCUUAAUUAACCAUUUCAGAUCAGGAAGACAUGGUUCCCGAGCCCGUUCCGCAGGAGGACGACGAAGGGGAUGCCUAGAGACUCUGUAGUCAUACGCAUAGUUUAUUUUCGAGUUUUCUUUCUUAGUUAGUUUAACCUUUUAUAUUUUAAGUACGUUUUUUUGGGUUUUUUUCGUGUAAGGGAUGUUAACUGAAAUUUUGAUCUUGCUUCCGCAUUCGAUAUAUUUAAAUACUCAUUUCUUUUUUAAUAUUUUCCGGGGCCGUUACAUAUA
rnacentral:lncRNA from 1 species